UACGUAGGGGGCAAGCGUUGUCCGGAAUCAUUGGGCGUAAAGCGCGUGUAGGCGGCUGGGUAAGUCCGCUCUGAAAGCCCGGGGCUCAACCCCGGGAGGCGGGUGGAUACUGCUCAGCUCGAGUCCGGAAGAGGAGUGUGGAAUUCCUGGUGUAGCGGUGAAAUGCGCAGAUAUCAGGAGGAACACCAAUGGCGAAGGCAGCACUCUGGGACGGUACUGACGCUGAGACGCGAAAGCGUGGGGAGCGAACAGG
rnacentral:rRNA from 1 species